AUCCCAUGAGGUGGCCAUUUCCUCAACAUUUUCUUGUACCGCUCCCAAGCAUCAUACAAAGAUUCAUACUCUAGCUACAAAAAGGACGAGAUGUCAUUCCUCAACUU